GGUCAUUUAGAUGACCAUAUAUUAAAGCUGUAAUAAUACAGAGAAAAUUCGCAUGGUUCCAGCGCGAGCAUUAUGCCUAAAUUCAAAAGAAUUCGAAAUUUCGC
rnacentral:snRNA from 1 species